AAAAAUUUUUAAAAAAUAAAUUUUUCAGUUUUUAUUUUUUUAUUAGGUUUAAAGGUUCAAAAUUUUAUAAGUUCAAAAAUUAUGAGUUAAGAGGUUUAUGUAUUUUGAAGUUUAUGAGUUUAGAAAUUAUAAAGUUUACGGGUUCGAAAUUACACGGUUUUGAAAGUUUAGCAGUUCGAAAGUUUAUGAAAUGUGUGGUUUAGAAGGUUAUUAGUUUGAAAGUUUAUCGCUUCAUAUUUAUUAUAUCUAAAUUAUUUAUGAAUACUUUUGAGAAGUCAUUUUCCUUAAUUUGCGUAUCAAACAUCAAAAAAUAAAUAAGAUUACUAUUUAUUUUCCAAAAAAAUAUUUUCUUAAAACACAUUUUUUUACUAAAACAUUUUCCCUUGUACCAAACACAUCCUAAGUAUUCAUACCUUUUAUCAACCCAAUUACUAAAAUAAAUACUACUACUAGUUAGCUAAGUGAAAUGUUAGUAUUUUAUAGAAUUAAAUCGAUGUGUCUAUGACAAAACUUUACGGCCAGGAAAAGAUCCCUUCAUGCCUAGAGGGAAAAUUCACCGGAAGAAUCCUAUAUCGUAUAUGGAGAGACAAUUAAGCAUUUAUAAUAAUGAAUAAGGUAAGGGUGUAUGGUGGGCCAGACUCACUCCGAAAUGGCCCUGGCUCGUGGGCCAAACGAGCCAAAUGAGCAUGUUUAAACGGGUCGGUCUCUAGUGAUGUAAAAGUCCUUAGUAGGCCAGUCCUAAUCAAAAAGCUCAUGAGCUCGAGACCGUUUAAUACGGGACCGACAGGGCACCUGGGCCGGUUCAAUCGGGCCAAAUAGGUCCCAACGGCUAUUUUUUUGAAAAAAAAUUUAAAAAGGGCCAACGGUCAUAUUUUUAAAAUCUAGCUAUUGGCCUUUAAUUUUUAGCCGUUUGAAACUUUAAAAAUAGUCAUUUGACCCCCAAAUUUUUUAUAAUUAUACUUUUUCCCUAUUCUUAACUAUAAAUACCUCCUCAUUCUUUCAUUUUUACUCACAAAUUCAUCAUCUCUCUCAAUCUCUCCCUAAUUUUCUUCUAUUAUUGCUUACUUUAUUAUUGCAAUUUCGUGAAAAUUUAUGAAGUUGGUGAGUUGAAGUAUUCAAAUCUUCAAGUCUUCAACAAUAUUCAAUUUUCAAGAAGUUGUUCGUCAAUUCGGUAAAACUCGUUCCAACUCUUAAGUUUAAUAUUAUAAUUUCAUUUGUUUUAACUUGUAUAAUUAUAACUAAUGUGACAUUUUCUUUGAAAAAAAAAAUUUGGUGGUAAGGAAAAUUUAGAAUUGGUGAAUCUAGUCGCCAAAAUACUACUCUUUCCCCGACUUUCCGACCCAGACAUGUUACCCGUCCUUAUCCAUUUGUUAUUCUUGAUAGUGAUAACCCUUGUUUUUAAUUUUCCGAUAGUCAAUUUUGCCAUGAUGUUGCACCAGGUCAACAAUUAAAUGAAGAAGUUANNNNNNNNNNNNNNNNNNNNNNNNNNNNNNNNNNNNNNNNNNNNNNNNNNNNNNNNNNNNNNNNNNNNNNNCAACAAUUAAAUGAAGAAGUUAUGAAUGCUCUUUAUCCUAAUCAAACUAUCUUUGAAAAUGAUGAUUUAGAUGAAACGCAACCGGAUUUAGAUGAUACAGCUACUAGUCUUGUUGAUAACAUAGUUGGUGCUCCGCCUGACCCUCCUAUAGUAACCCCUACUUUUAAGGGACAAUGUUCUAAACGCCCCGAAACAUCACUUGUUUGAAACUUUUUUACUAAAUUAAGAGAACAAAAAAAGGCUAAGUGUAAAACUUGUGGGUCUUUGUUGGCUUAUAAAUUUACUAGAGACCAUAGUGGUACAGGUAGUUGACUAGACAUAUAAAGAAACACCAUAUAGAUAAAGCUAUAUAUCUUCAAAUAAAAGUUGCGCAAGAGGGGACAAGUGUAGAUACUACGGUUAACUCUAAUACAUGGUCAAAUCUAGUUCAACCGAGAAUUAACACUGUUACCGGUGGCAUUUUAUAUUACGAUCCAAAUAAAGAUCGUGAAAAAUUGGCAAAAAUAGUUAUUGUUAUGUGCUUACCCUAUAGUUUUCCUUCUAACCCUCAUUUUGUGCAAUAUGUUAAAAGAGUUUUUAAUCCUACUUAUAAAGGAAGGCCUAACGCAACUGUAAAGAGCGAUAUUUAUAAAUAUAAACAUGAAUAUGAACAAUAUUUUCACUAUUUAUUUACUCAUAUAGAUUGUCGCAUUACUAUUACUACUGAUAUUGGUAGAAGUAAUAAUGACUGUGAUUAUCUAACUGUUACCACUCAUUGGAUUGAUGAAGAAUGAAAAAUGCAAAAACGUAUUAUUACAUAUAGAUUAAUUUAUUUAUGUCACACAUGUAAGUUUAUUGCUAAUACAAUUGCAAAUAUUUGUAGAUAUUUUUGCAUUAGAGAUAAAAUAAUGUCAAUUUCUAUGGAUAAUGCUUCUAAUAACACUAAUGCUAUAGGCUUACUUACAACUACACUAAAUCCUGCAUUUAGUAAUUGUUUCCAUAUUAGAUGUAUUUGUCAUAUUUUCCGUUUAAUCUCAGUGAUGGUAUGAAAAUUUUAAAUUUAGAAAUUGAAAAGGUUAAAAUGGCUCUUAAUUGGCUUUUUUAUUCAAACCGUAGAAGUAGACUUAGAGAAUAUUUUAAAAAAUGUGAUGAAUUUGGCCUUAGAGAAAGAAAUGUUCCUAAAGCUUGUCCGACUAGAUAGAAUUAUAUGUACGAAAGUUUAGUUGUUACAUAUGAAUCUCGAAACCCAAUAAAUACGUUUAAUGCUCGUGGUGGUGGUGAGGAUGAUGAUGAAAUCCUUACAAAUCAAGAUUGGACUAAUGUUAAAAUUCUUAUAGAUUUUUUAGAACAAUUUUAUAUUGCUACAAAUGAAUUGUCUGGCCAAUAUUAUCCUACUAUUUCAAACUGAUUAGUUUAUAUUGGAGCACUAUGUAAUUUAUUUGUUCAAUUUUUAGAGGGUGGGGUAAUUUAUCAACUUGCUAUAAAUGCAAUGAAAGAAAAGUUUAAUUUUUUUUCCUAUUCCCCCUAUUUAUAGUGUUGCUGCCAUGUUAAAUCCUACCAUGAAAUUAUGAGGUCCUCACUUUUGGUAUUUAAAUAUUUAUAGGGCUUUAGAUCUUUCAGAUGAGGAAUUAGCUACACUUUCAGAUGCAAAAGCCUUAAUUAAAAUAAAUGCUCAAACAAUUUAUAAUGUUUAUCAACAAGCCUUAGAUCAUGCUAGACCCAAUAUUCCAACUCCUAAUUCGUCUAGUUCGCAAUCAUCUAAGAGAAAUGCGGGCCUAAAAACACUUAGUUCUUGGACGGAUUUCAGGGGUUCUCAAGGUGAUAAUAUUGAUGAUACUUCACAUCUAAAUGAGCUUUAAGUUUAUUUGUCGUAGGGCCUUGAAAAAAGAAUCCAGAUGGCACCUUUGAUCUUUUGGAAUGGAGCUUCAAAUUUAUUUGUCGUACGGCCUUGAAAAGGAGAAUCCAGACGACACCUUUGAUCUUUUGGAAUGGUGAAAGGCCAAAGAAAAAUACUUUCUAGUUCUUUCAAGGAUGGCUCAAGAUAUUUCAUGUGUUCAAGCUUCAAUAGUGGCAUUCGAGAGCGCUUUCAGUCAAGAGAGACUUCAAAUAGGUGAUCAUAGAGCGUCUAUGAGGGAGAGCUUAGAAAAAUCAGUACUUUUCAGAGAUUGAAUCUGUUCGGAAAGAAGAAAUUUUGGACUUACUGAAACACAACCGGAGAUAGACGAAGCUUAUGUAGAAAUGAUCGUGGAACUUGUGGAGGAUGCUGCUUCGCCCAGAAACGGUGAUGAACAAGCUUCUUUUCUGCCACCACCAACGCAAAUUCCUCCGAACCUUAAAGGAUUUAUGAAAUUUUUUAGAGACAAUACAUAGACUAAUAUGUAACAUGUAUUUAUACACAUCUUCAUUAGUUUUUUCCUUUUAAUGGUGGUAUUAGCACCUUGUUGUGAUCAUUCCAUUGGGGGGAGGAAGACUAAAAUAGAUAUUAUCAUUUUUUUAAUGUCGUAAUAAUAAAAA
rnacentral:lncRNA from 1 species